rnacentral:lncRNA from 1 species
UUUCCGAGCAAGACGCCUCACAAAGAAAAUAUCCUCAGGUGCUGGAGACCAACUUCUUCCCGGGCAGUUGUCAAACACAGACACGGUCGAUAAAACAAUUUAACAAAACGCCUUUUCACUCUGACACAUUGUAGAGGAAUGCAGCUCCGGGGAGACAAUGUUAUCACUCCACAGAGCAGAGGGAAAGCUGCACUCCGGGCCGGCCCGGACCACGCGGAAAAGGAUCGCACAGUUCUUGUGGAGACUUUCAGCACAUCUCAAUUUGGACUGGCCAUAUCUCCAGGGCUCCAUGGCUACACACGGCUAGUGGCUACCUAAGGGACAGUAUGGUCUGGAGGUGGGGUGAAUGCUGGCUGGAGGACAUAUGGAGGACCUGACUCCUACACAGAAAGAGCUCUCUGCAGACAGGACUGUCUUGGAGAGCACGGGCCAUGAGGUCACCCAAGGGCUGAGAUUGAAGCCAGGGCUUCAGAGCCUGCGGCCACACGCUGCACCCACCCCGUGCGUCUCUGCAGCUGCCCUGCUGGCCCCUCCAGCAGUGGGGCAGGCUCCGCCUCUGCACGUUCAUUCCCAGGAGGCAGCGGCCUGCACGGGCUGCACGCUGAAACCCAAAGCCACACAAUGUCAACACCUCGCUCCUGUGCAAAUAUUUGCUUCAGAGAAAAUGCCUUCAGUGCUUGUACAACCAAUUUUCUUGCAGUCGGCGAGAUGAAUUGGAGAAUUAAUGCAUGCAUUAAAAGAACUUCUUG